rnacentral:rRNA from 1 species
UAGGGAAUUUUCCACAAUGGGCGAAAGCCUGAUGGAGCAACGCCGCGUGCAGGAUGAAUGCCUUCGGGUUGUAAACUGCUUUUAUUGGUGACGAUUAUGACGGUAGCCAAUGAAUAAGGACCUGCUAACUACGUGCCAGCAGCCGCGGUCAUACGUAGGGUCCAAGCGUUAUCCGGAAUUACUGGGCGUAAAGAGUUGCGUAGGUGGCAUAGUAAGCGAGUAGUGAAAGCGUGUGGCUCAACCAUACAUCCAUUACUUGAACUGCUAAGCUAGAAGAUGAGAGAGGUAGAUGGAAUUCCUGAUGUAGGGGUAAUAUCCGUAGAUAUCAGGAGGAACACCGAUGGCGUAGGCAGUCUACUGGCUCAUUCUUGACACUAAGGCACGAAAGCGUGGGUAGCAAACAGG